rnacentral:rRNA from 1 species
GAUGAACGCUGGCGGCGUGCCUAAUACAUGCAAGUCGAGCGAACAGACGAGGAGCUUGCUCCUCUGACGUUAGCGGCGGACGGGUGAGUAACACGUGGAUAACCUACCUAUAAGACUGGGAUAACUUCGGGAAACCGGAGCUAAUACCGGAUAAUAUAUUGAACCGCAUGGUUCAAUAGAGAAAGACGGUUUUGCUGUCACUUAUAGAUGGAUCCGCGCCGCAUUAGCUAGUUGGUAAGGUAACGGCUUACCAAGGCAACGAUGCGUAGCCGACCUGAGAGGGUGAUCGGCCACACUGGAACUGAGACACGGUCCAGACUCCUACGGGAGGCAGCAGUAGGGAAUCUUCCGCAAUGGGCGAAAGCCUGACGGAGCAACGCCGCGUGAAUGAUGAAGGUCUUCGGAUCGUAAAACUCUGUUAUUAGGGAAGAACAAAUGUGUAAGUAACUAUGCACGUCUUGACGGUACCUAAUCAGAAAGCCACGGCUAACUACGUG